AUUUUGGACAAUGGGCGAAAGCCUGAUCCAGCAAUGCCGCGUGUGUGAAGAAGGCCUUCGGGUUGUAAAGCACUUUUGUCCGGAAAGAAAUCCUGAGGGCUAAUAUCCUUCGGGGAUGACGGUACCGGAAGAAUAAGCACCGGCUAACUACGUGCCAGCAGCCGCGGUAAUACGUAGGGUGCGAGCGUUAAUCGGAAUUACUGGGCGUAAAGCGUGCGCAGGCGGUUUGCUAAGACCGAUGUGAAAUCCCCGGGCUCAACCUGGGAACUGCAUUGGUGACUGGCAGGCUAGAGUAUGGCAGAGGGGGGUAGAAUUCCACGUGUAGCAGUGAAAUGCGUAGAGAUGUGGAGGAAUACCGAUGGCGAAGGCAGCCCCCUGGGCCAAUACUGACGCUCAUGCACGAAAGCGUGGGGAGCAAACAG
rnacentral:rRNA from 1 species